rnacentral:rRNA from 1 species
ACUCAAAUGAAUAGACGGGGACCCGCACAAGCAGUGGAGUAUGUGGUUUAAUUCGAAGCAACGCGAAGAACCUUACCAGAGCUUGACAUCCCGCGAACCUGGUCGAAAGGCCGGGGUGCCCUUCGGGGAGCGCGGAGACAGGUGGUGCAUGGUUGUCGUCAGCUCGUGUCGUGAGAUGUUGGGUUAAGUCCCGCAACGAGCGCAACCCUUACGGUCAGUUACUACGCAAGAGGACUCUGGCAGGACUGCCGUUGAUAAAACGGAGGAAGGUGGGGACGACGUCAAAUCAUCAUGCCCUUUAUGUUCUGGGCUACACACGUACUACAAUGGCCGCCAACAGAGGGAAGCAAAGCCGCGAGGCGGAGCAAAACCCUAAAAGCGGUCUCAGUUCAGAUUGCAGGCUGCAACUCGCCUGCAUGAAGUCGGAAUUGCUAGUAAUCGCGGAUCAGCAUGCCGCGGUGAAUACGUUCCCGGGUCUUGUACACACCGCCCGU